UAUAAAAGCUACUUAGACACCUCUAAAAGCAAUGGAAAUCAUAGUCAUGUGGGCGUCGUCGACCUCACCAAGAUGGCGUCGCGCUCCGCCACCGUCGGCCAGGCUUCUAAAACGGGCGUGUUUCCUCUAGUGAUAUAACUUAUUGAUUCCAACCCCCAGGUCUCACAGAUUCCAGCCUCCUCUUCCUCUGUCCCGCUGCAGUCGGAUACCGCCGACUUUGCCUGCAGAGCAUUUUCUCACGCCAACAGUUGCCCUAACCAUCAGCUACGUGAGACGUCGCCACCAAGACAUUUGAAAGAAAUGUCUGCCAGGGGAAUUGUGAGCUUGUUUCCCGUCUUAGUGACCCUUUCUCCAGGACCGGUUAUGGUGAGACAGUGACCUCAUUGAUUCUGCUGCUGUUGCACCUUGUUCCUCCUUCUGCCCAAGAAGGAGUCAAAGACCAGGAAGUGUCUGCUUCCCAAGCAGAAAAGCAUUUGGUGGUCUUCAAGAAGACGAGAACCAACAUUCAAGAACAUCUUGAUUCCAUCACGACCAGCAGUUCACCCGAUCUCCUGGCUGUAGGACAAAGUAGGAAAGAAAUCCACCAGUUCUAAUCACCCUUUACACAAAUGUCAUCGCCUACAGGUUGGCUUCCUCACUUGGUGCCUUUGAACUGUUCAAGGCAAAUUUUGUUUUUGCUACAAAGUACAACCCAAUGCUCCACAGCAUGUUCACAUUCAUCCAGACAACUGUCUACAACAAAGAUGUUGGGAAGUGAAGGAGAGCCCCCGUGUUGCAGAAGUUGGGGCCGGGCUGCUUCAUUAGCUCAUGAACACGUCUAUUUGAGAAGAGGUGUUUUGUUUGUCACUCUGAGUUGAGUUCAAAUACACUUGUUGGGCAUUUAUGAGUAGAUCGUGGUAAUGUAGAUGGGGAAAAAUAUAUGACUUAAAUGUGCUCAGAAUGGAUGUGGUCGAGUACUUGGGAAUUUUUCUGGAUUUAGAAAAACAUUUAAACACCAAACACAUGGACAGAAUUAUUAACUAUUGGAUUUCUUUAAUUUUUUUCUUCACUUUUUCAAUAGAAAUUCUAUUGUGGACAUAAUAUUUAAAAAGUUGCCUCGUUUUUGUACUUGAUUCUUGUGGUUCAGCUGCCAAACAUUUCAUGCAGUCGGCCUUUGCUGGUACACAGCCAGAUGGGAUGGAAUCCGUGAAUUGUCUUUCUACUGUCUCAACUUCAGGUUGUGUGCCCUACCUCUCCUCUUUGGGGGACCUUCAGCAUAAAAAACAAAGUCUCUCACUAGGAACUAAACAUGGUUCAUCUCUGCAGGAACCUUCCCACACAUGGACAUAUUUACCUGUCAGGCAUGGUUCAAUGACUGCUGGGUGCGUUACAUAACUGGACCUUCUGCAGACUAGGACCUGGUUUGGAAACAAGGCUUUAUGACGCACAGUGCAAACAUAAGAGUGCCGAGUCUUCAGCUUGAAUAUUGGACCUGAAGACAGAAAUGGCAUUUGUUGUCAGUCUUUGUUUCUACAGUCUGUGUAAGUCUCUUCAUCUGUGUACUUUCGUCUUAUUUGGUCUUAUGUUAAGACGGCUGCCUUGCAUUUUUUCAAAGUAAAUGUUCAACAAUGACUUCCACGACAGCGACUUCUACUGGCUAAACUUUAAUAAUAAUAAUAGUUCAGGGCUCCAGACUUACUUUUUUCACUAGGUGUGGCCCCUAACUGAA